rnacentral:rRNA from 1 species
GACCAGACUCCUACGGGAGGCAGCAGUGAGGAAUAUUGGUCAAUGGCCGAGAGGCUGAACCAGCCAAGUCGCGUGAGGGAAGAAUGUCCUAAGGAUUGUAAACCUCUUUUGUCGGGGAGCAAAAAGGCUCUGCGGAGUCGUAUUGAGAGUACCCGAAGAAAAAGCAUCGGCUAACUCCGUGCCAGCAGCCGCGGUAAUACGGAGGAUGCGAGCGUUAUCCGGAUUUAUUGGGUUUAAAGGGAGCGUAGGCCGGCUUUUAAGUCAGCUGUGAAAGUCCGCGGCUCAACCGUGGAAUUGCAGUUGAAACUGGAGGCCUUGAGUGCACACAGGGAUGCCGGAAUUCAUGGUGUAGCGGUGAAAUGCUUAGAUAUCAUGAAGAACUCCGAUCGCGAAGGCAAGUGUCCGGGGUGCAACUGACGCUGAGGCUCGAAAGUGCGGGUAUCAAACAGGAUUAGAUACCCUCGUA